UUAGUGGCGAACGGGUGAGUAACACGUGAGUAACCUGCCCCUGACUCUGGGAUAAGCCCGGGAAACUGGGUCUAAUACCGGAUAUGACUUCCUACUGCAUGGUGGGUUGUUGAAAGAUUUAUCGGUGGGGGAUGGACUCGCGGCCUAUCAGCUUGUUGGUGAGGUAAUGGCUCACCAAGGCGACGACGGGUAGCCGGCCUGAGAGGGUGACCGGCCACACUGGGACUGAGACACGGCCCAGACUCCUACGGGAGGCAGCAGUGGGGAAUAUUGCACAAUGGGCGGAAGCCUGAUGCAGCGACGCCGCGUGAGGGAUGACGGCCUUCGGGUUGUAAACCUCUUUCAGUAGGGAAGAAGCCGAAAGUGACGGUACCUGCAGGAAGAAGCGCCGGCUAACUACGUGCCAGCAGCCGCGGUAAUACGUAGGGCGCAAGCGUUAUCCCGGAUUUAUUGGGCGUAAAGAGCUCGUAGGCGGUUUGUCGCGUCUGCCGUGAAAGUCCGAGGCUCAACCUCGGAUCUGCGGUGGGUACGGGCAGACUAGAGUGAUGUAGGGGAGACUGGAAUUCCUGGUGUAGCGGUGAAAUGCGCAGAUAUCAGGAGGAACACCGAUGGCGAAGGCAGGUCUCUGGGCAUUUACUGACGCUGAGGAGCGAAAGCAUGGGGAGCGAACAGGAUUAGAUACCCUGGUAGUCCAUGCCGUAAACGUUGGGCACUAGGUGUGGGGGACAUUCCACGUUUUCCGCGCCGUAGCUAACGCAUUAAGUGCCCCGCCUGGGGAGUACGGCCGCAAGGCUAAAACUCAAAGGAAUUGACGGGGGCCCGCACAAGCGGCGGAGCAUGCGGAUUAAUUCGAUGCAACGCGAAGAACCCUUACCAAGGCUUGACAUGUGCCAGACCGCUCCAGAGAUGGGGUUUCCCUUCGGGGCCUGGUUCACAGGUGGUGCAUGGUUGUCGUCAGCUCGUGUCGUGAGAUGUUGGGUUAAGUCCCGCAACGAGCGCAACCCUCGUUCCAUGUUGCCAGCACGUAGUGGUGGGGACUCAUGGGAGACUGCCGGGGUCAACUCGGAGGAAGGUGGGGAUGACGUCAAAUCAUCAUGCCCCUUAUGUCUUGGGCUUCACGCAUGCUACAAUGGCCGGUACAAUGGGUUGCGAUACUGUGAGGUGGAGCUAAUCCCUAAAAGCCGGUCUCAGUUCGGAUUGGGGUCUGCAACUCGACCCCAUGAAGUCGGAGUCGCUAGUAAUCGCAGAUCAGCAACGCUGCGGUGAAUACGUUCCCGGGCCUUGUACACACCGCCCGUCAAGUCACGAAAGUUGGUAACACCCGAAGCCGAUGGCCUAACCACCUUGUGUGGGGGGAGUCGUCGAAGGU
rnacentral:rRNA from 1 species